GAAUCACUAUUAUCAAAAGCUCAGAUUUAGGAGAGGAAGAGACAGGGCAAGAUAAGGAGACAGAGAAAAACAAACAGUGAUGGAGAUGAGGAGAGAGCAGUGGUAUUUCAACAAUCACUCAUGGAGUCUGACCAGGACUGGUAUGAUCAUUUUUACCCUUUUUACGAGGACAGAAGUAUCUCACGUUUCGGUUUUGAUAAAUCAUUCAGUCCUAGGAUAACAUAAUGUUGGCAGCUCAGGAAAAGAUGUAGGAAAUUGAAGAGAAGUAUGGCUUUAAUCAGUGUGGUUGUGUCAAUUUGUGUGAGUGUUUGAGACUUUUUAGAUGCCUGUCAACACAGUUUGGGAGAACGUCUUUGAGGAGCUGAUAUCUGAAACUUUCAAAUUUGCACUGCAUCGAGAUCAGUCUUAUCACAGGCAACUGCAAUGAAGCAUCAAGAAAGACAUGGGCAUGCCAGCCACCCUGAGACUGAUAAUUCAUGAGAAGACAUUUCUGUCAAAGUGGAUGGUGAGCAAAGAUGGUGGUCACGUUUUGGAGCAGCACCUGGGUUUUGCAGAUGGCUAUGUAUUCUUUGGCUGCUUGUCUUUAUGUUUCUGUUGCCUAAAGAUUCUUUGUGAGGAUAAAUCACAACAAAAUGCACUGCA